UUACUAGAGUAGCACUCGCAUAUCAAUAAGCGGAGGAAAAGAAACUAACAAGGAUUCCCCUAGUAACGGCGAGUGAAGCGGGAAGAGCUCAAAUUUGAAAUCUUAAAGGGUUUCCCUUUACGAAUUGUAGUUUAAAGAAGUGUUUUCUGUUGAGGUUUUGGUAAAAGUUCUUUGGAAUAGGACAUCAUAGAGGGUGAGAAUCCCGUAUUUGACCUUUACUUUCAACUUUGUGAUACACUUUCAAAGAGUCGGAUUGUUUGGGAAUGCAGUCCAAAAUGGGUGGUAAAUUUCAUCUAAAGCUAAAUAUUGGCGAGAGACCGAUAGCGAACAAGUACCGUGAGGGAAAGAUGAAAAGAACUUUGAAAAGAGAGUUAAACAGUACGUGAAAUUGUCAAAAGGGAAGCGUUUGACACCAGUGUUGUUUUUCUGAAAAUCAAUUAAAGAACUGUUUAUGCUAAGUUGUUUAGACUUUAUCAGCUAACUGUUUAGUUUUGAGCUUUUCUUUAAUGCACUUUUCAGUUAACAAGUCAACAUCAAUUUCUUUUGCUGUAAAAAAGCUUGAGGAAGGUGGCUUGAGAUUCGUCUUAAGUGUUUAUAGCCUCUUGCCUAUGCAGUCGGAGAGAUUGAGGUCUGCAGCGUAGAUCCUUCGGGGCUAAAUGCAUUUGUGCUAAGUUAUAGCAUUUUAUAGACAACUUGUUGACUAUGAUUUGUCUUGUAGCUUACUCGCUUAUGUUAUUUUACCUACGCUUAGGAUGUUGAUCUCUCACAGUCGAGC
rnacentral:rRNA from 1 species